GUGCGCAAAAGACAAGGUGAUAAAAAUNNAUCCCGCCGANGCCUUCAUAUUUUNAUNUUUAAUGNUNCCUUCCCGUAGGGGGGGACUGCGGAGGGAUCAUUACACAAAUUAAAAUAUGAAGGCUUCGGCUGGAUUAUUUUUAUCACCCUUGUCUUUUGCGCACUUGUUGUUUCCUGGGCGGGUUCGCCCGCCACCAGGACCACACCAUAAACCUUUUUUAUGCAGUUGCAAUCAGCGUCAGUAUAACAAAUGUAAAUCAUUUACAACUUUCAACAACGGAUCUCUUGGUUCUGGCAUCGAUGAAGAACGCAGCGAAAUGCGAUACGUAGUGUGAAUUGCAGAAUUCAGUGAAUCAUCGAAUCUUUGAACGCACAUUGCGCCCUUUGGUAUUCCAAAGGGCAUGCCUGUUCGAGCGUCAUUUGUACCUUCAAGCUUUGCUUGGUGUUGGGCGUCUUUUUGUCUUUGGCCUCGCCCAAAGACUCGCCUUAAAACGAUUGGCAGCCGGCCUACUGGUUUCGCAGCGCAGCACAUUUUUGCGCUUGCAAUCAGCAAAAAGGACGGCAAUCCAUCAAGACUACAUUUUUACGUUUGACCUCGGAUCAGGUAGGGAUACCCGCUGAACUUAAGCAUAUC
rnacentral:rRNA from 1 species